GCCGGUAUAGCUCAGCGGGCAGAGCGUCGGCCUGCGGACCGAAAGGGUCCCGGGUUCGAUUCCUGGUCAGGGCA
rnacentral:tRNA from 1 species